rnacentral:miRNA from 1 species
UUAUAGUCGGAAGGCCUUCC